AGCGAACGCUGGCGGCAGGCCUAACACAUGCAAGUCGAGCGCCCCGCAAGGGAGCGGCAGACGGGAGAGUAACACGUGGGAACGUACCCUUCAGUUCGGAACAACCCAGGGAAACUUGGGCUAAUACCGAAUACGUCCGUAAGGAGAAAGAUUUAUCGCUGAAGGAUCGGCCCGCGUCUGAUUAGCUUGUUGGUGAGGUAACGGCUCACCAAGGCUACGAUCAGUAGCUGGUCNGAGAGGAUGAUCAGCCUCACUGGGACUGAGACACGGCCCAGACUCCUACGGGAGGCAGCAGUGGGGAAUAUUGGACAAUGGGCGCAAGCCUGAUCCAGCCAUGCCGCGUGGGUGAUGAAGGCCCUAGGGUUGUAAAGCCCUUUCGGCGGGGAAGAUAAUGACGGUACCCGCAGAAGAAGCCCCGGCUAACUUCGUGCCAGCAGCCGCAGUAAC
rnacentral:rRNA from 1 species